rnacentral:rRNA from 2 species
AGCCACAGGCUUAUAUUUGUGGUUCAACCUGCCCUAUGAAUUUUAAAUGGCCGCAGUACUCUGACUGUGCUAAGGUAGCGUAAUCAGUUGGCUUUUAAAUGGAGUCGGGAAUGAAUGGGAAAACCGGGUUUAGCUGUCGAGGCUUACUUACUUGAAUUUGCUUUUUAAGUGAAAAAGCUUAAAAGAAAAAAAAAGACGAGAAGACCCUUAGAACUUUAAUUAUAGAACAUCUAACGUUUUUAUUGGGGCGAUAAAGAAACAUUGAAACUUUCUGUAAAAACAAGCCGAUUUUAUUAUGGGAGAAUAAGUUACCUGAGGGAUAACAGCAUAAUUUUAUAAUUAAGUUUGUGACCUCGAUGUUGGACUAGGAAACUAAUAGGCUAGCCGUUUAUUAUGGGAGUUCUGUUCGAACUAUUAUUCCU